GGGGUUCCGAAAGCGGUAAAACAGGUGGUCUAACCGACACACGCGAUUACACGAAGUAGUAGCGAUGGCUAACUUUUAACUAAACAAAACCCAAGGCUCCUUAGGGGGGCUCAUGGGGUAUAUAAAGGAGGAGGGAGAGAUAUUUUCGUCCACCUUGAAUAAGGAGUCCGAAAUCCAACUCUAUCUCUAACUUUCCUAACAAACUACAACUCUUUAGGAAACAGAAAAACAGAUCCGUCAGCUUGUUUUGUCCGCCACGGUCAGCACGAGUCGAAUCUCUUGAUGGGGCCAGAUCCGUUGGAAAGGUCUUGUAAUUACCUUUCCAACAAGUACUUGUUUGCUUGAUUUGGACUCCGGAUGCGGCCUGGGUGAUUAAAACAAAUUCGGGUCUCCUGACGGCUCGGACCCGAAUCGGAUUCAACUUUAAUUCGUGAUACCUUUCUCUAGCAAGCUCCGAAUCAUGUGCCGUUUGAUUUGUUGGAAAGUAGACUUGAUAGGCUUCACUUUGAAUCUCCCUUGGCAGGCUAUCACACUUCAUCUUCACUUUGGACUUGUAAAGUUCAAUAAGAUGCCUACAUAAUAAGAUUACACAAGAUAGUAGCUCCGCCUCUUUGCAAGUAACAUAUUGAAAACAUUUUGUAAUUGAAUUCACCUGAUUAUAAUUGUUAUUAGAUACACCAACAAUUAGGGUUCUAAUGGUUGUAUCCAUGGUUAGCAUGUCCAUAUCAUCCUCCCUUUCUUGAAAGGAAAGCCGUCCUCGGCGUCGUUUGUGCUGAAAAGAGACUGACAAAAUAGACAAAGUGUGUGCAUGGUAUAUGUAUAUGUCAUCAAUUUUAACUCCACUCCCAUGCUGCACAUUCGAUGUUUCACAUAAAUAAAACUCAUAAUAGUUCAAAAGAUUAAUAGUCAUAUUCCAACGGCAAGUAUCACAUUUUAAUUUGUAAUUCUCAUCAUUAAACCAUCCUAAUGGAGGUGAACAAUAAUUCAAAAUUACCAAAUGGCGAGUUACAAUAUGCGUCAAUGUGUAAUCAUGCCACAAGUUAUUUGUCAUACAACUAUCACCAAUAUUAGAGGUCAUAUCAAAAUGAUUGAGCAUAUGCCAAAUAUUGUUGUCUCUCAAAUCAAGAAAGUUAUCACAAGCAAUGCAAAUCUGAUGCACCCAAAAUUUAUUGUUGACAUCAUGUUCUCCAAUUAAUUGGAUAGUGUAUCCAUGGGCAUUAGCAAAAGAUUUUGAAAUUGUUAACUCAGAAACUUUAUCCAUUGCAUGUGACAAAUAUAUAGGUGCAUCAAGUUUAAUAGAACACAAAGAAUUAUUAGGUGGAUCGUUCUCAAUCACUCCAUGUGUAAUUAACUCGACACAACCUAAACCAAAUUUAUCUACAUCACAUGCUUCUCCCAAAACAUUAGCUAUUUCCUCACAAUAUUCAUUCUCAUCAAUAUCAAAAUUAAUAUGUGCACUCAAAUCAUUAGAAGAAUUAAUUUCAGCAGUAGGUGCACUCAAAUCAGCAUGUAAAUCAACAAUUUCACAUGGUGCAGAAAAUUCGACAUGUAUCUCAUUUAUUUCGUCACAUGUCAUAUUUAGUUCAGGAACACAAUCAUCUUUAUCUUUACCUUGUGGGCUCGACUCAUUUGUAGUAGACCCUCGCUGUAAUUUCCUCUCAACUUUACGAGCAAGAUUAAGCAAACCCAAAAGAGAGUCGUAUUUUCCAUAUUCAAUCAUGUAAGAAAUAUCAAAGUUAAGCCCACAAUAAAACCUAUCCAUUUUUCUUUGUUCGGUUUCAUCUAAACCAGAUCGCAAGGUUAUAAUUUGGAACUCAUUGUAGUAAUCAUCAACAGUUUUAUCAUCUUGUGCCAAACGUCGUAAUUUUGAACGCAAGUUAAAAGCAUAACUAAAAGGGACAUAUUUUUCUCUCAUGAUUUUCUUCAUAUCAACCCAAGUGUGGGGAAUUUUCUUUUCUCUAACUAUCUCAUUCCACCAAGAUAAAGCAGCAAAAGUAAAUUUACUACUAGCAAUUUGAACCUUGCGACUAUCAAGUACAUGGAAGCAUGUGAAUUGUGCAGUUAAAGCUAGCUCCAAUUCUAUAUACGUUUCAGCAUCAUUUUUCCCCUCAAAGAAAGGUACACACAAUUUAAUUGUAUUAGAAGGAUUGUUUUGUACCGUUGCCAUGGCAUUAUCAACAAGAGACGUGGAGGAUGGCCGUGGUGAAAAGCACUCACCACGGUCACGGGAUAGCAUCGGUCUAGUUGCCAUGCUUCGUGUAAGUCCUGUCAUGGUUAGUAGAAAACAAGAAACAAAUCACAGUAAUAUGUUCCUAUCAACUACUAGGAUGUGGCUACAAGUCGCUCAACUCUCAAGCUAAAAAUCAAGUUCUUACAAGUUCUUACCAUGCAAAACAGGAAGGUGAUGGCCAGCGGCGUGACCAAGCCCUCCGAAGAUUAAAUGUAUCAAUGCCUCGGUAACAAACCAACCUAGGUGUAGAAUCUGUGGAGCUUGGAGGCUUUUGUGAGUAGCAAGGAAUAGCAAAUAAUCAAAUCAGCAAUGCAAAGUUGAAAAUAUGCUCAAUAAUGCUAGUCCUAGCUGCUGGAGUCGAUAAGAACGAAUUACAGAAAUAAUCUAAGCCUAGAUACUGAAGAAGGUAGGAAUAGAUAGAUCAAAAGAUGGCACAACAAGUAAAUCCCUGGGAUUUUUUUUCUUUUUUUUUUUUGUGGCCUUCUGUUUGGCUUCUUAUUCUUUUCUUCUUCUUUUUUUUUUCUUUUUUUUUUAACCUCAGAAACUCACGCAAAAGAACGACCGGAAAACUGUACGUCGGUCUGUCGAAGAACAGCAAAGGCUGCAGUAAGAAAAAUCCAGAAAAAUAUGAAAAAAAAUAUGGGUUAGAAGGGUAUCGACACAAGCUUUCCAGCAAGGGCAAGAUCACUCAAAACGGAUGUCGGACAAUGGAGAAAACUGAGAAACACCGGGCUGCAGCGACGCCGGAAAACGGAUGCAGAAACUUGGAAGCUCAGAAAGUCCACCUUACAAACCGAAUUUGGGGGUCAAAGUGCAGGGCAACGCCCUGGAUAUUUCCUGAUGCGCCUCGUCCUGAGCUUUCCAAAAAGUCCAAGAACGUCCAAAUCCGAGUUGGUACGCAAAAGAUACGCCCGUUUUACUGAACACGGGUCAAACCCACCCGAAACUAAAAUUCUACUCGGACUCGGGUCCGAAACGGACUCGAACUCUUUUUUUUUUUUCGUUUUUUUUUCUUUCUUUCUUUCCUUUUUUUUUCUUUCCUUGCUUUUUUUUUUCAAAUUUCCAAACAACUUGAUCUCUAAACAAAAUUCGAUCUAUGAUGAAACACUUUCCAAAAGCACUCCUUAUUGGAUUCGGACUCGGAUUCGCGGCUGAAAACUAUAACUUGCCGACUCGGUGUAGGACUCGAAGAGGGACUCGGUGUAGGACUCGAUGAGGGACUCGGUGUAGGACUCCAAGAGGGACUCGGUGUAAGACUCGAAGAGGGACUCGGUGUAGGACUCGAUGAGGGACUCGGUGUAGGACUCAAAGAGGGACUCGGUGGAAGAUAUGGUGGCGGCGGAAGAUUAUGGCGGUGGUGUGGCAGGAAGUUUGGCGGCGGAAGAUUGAUGAAGGAAACCUGCGUCACACGAAGAACAAGAAAACCAAAAGCAAGUUCGAUCUAGUAGAAAAAAAUCUGAAAAACGAUCCAAUCUAAUCCAGCAACUCGACACGAUUAAUGCAGCAAAGAUUCAACAAUGCAAAUACUAAUGUGAAAAUUGCAAGGCUCAGAUUGGUUCUAGGACAAGGUAACUAAUUCUAAUUUUUGUUUGGCUUUUUCUGGACGAUAGGUAAAAGCAGAUCUAAACAACGGAUAAACUGGAAAAAUCUCACCGAGCAACCUUAAGCUCUGAUACCACGUGAUAUGGGUGCGGGUGGCCCGAUCUUUCGAUGAGAUUGGUAACUCUCGAUUUGGGUAGGAGGUGACGUUGACGAUCCGACUACGGCCUAGGAGGCAGCGCCUUAGCAAUCGAUACACCAACUCCAGAGGGUUAUUGAUCACGCGGGGGCACGAUCAACCUGACCACGAAGGUCUUUGUUCCUGCAAGCAAUCGAAGAACAAGCAAGAACAAGAUAAAUAGCCGAUGCAAUCUGAAAUUGCGAAUAUACUAUAUCAAACCAAUGUCUCAACGAGACGAUAAGUUGGGGUUCCGAAAGCGGUAAAACAGGUGGUCUAACCGACACACGCGAUUACACGAAGUAGUAGCGAUGGCUAACUUUUAACUAAACAAAACCCAAGGCUCCUUAGGGGGGCUCAUGGGGUAUAUAAAGGAGGAGGAAGAGAUAUUUUCGUCCACCUUGAAUAAGGAGUCCGAAAUCCAACUCUAUCUCUAACUUUCCUAACAAACUACAACUCUUUAGGAAACAGAAAAACAGAUCCGUCAGUUGUUUUGUCCGCCACGGUCAGCACGAGUCGAAUCUCUUGAUGGGGCCAGAUCCGUUGGAAAGGUCUUGUAAUUACCUUUCCAACAAGUACUUGUUUGCUUGAUUUGGACUCCGGAUGCGGCCUGGGUGAUUAAAAC
rnacentral:lncRNA from 1 species